GGAUGUAAGGGGGAUGUAAGGGUGAUCUGGCUGCGAAAUCUGCCACCCCAUUGAUUGCCAGGGUUGAUUUGGCUGAUCAGGCUGGCUAGGCAGGUGUUCCCUUCCUCCCUCACCGCUCCAUGUGUGUCCUUCCCGAAGCUGUGCGCUAGGUUGAAGAGGAUGACCUUCCCCGAAUAGAGGACCGGUCUUUGGUCAAGGGUAUACGAAUAGCUGCGCUCCCCUGCUAGAACCUCCAAACAAGCUCUCAAGAAGUCUGUGUACUUUUAGCUGUUGAUAAUAAGACUGUCACUGAAUACUGAGCACCCUGGGUAGAAAAGUGUUCAGUUACUGUAUGG
rnacentral:snRNA from 1 species